AAUAUAGAUAGAGGUGCAUUUUUUAUAAGUAAGUUUUGGAGAGGAAAGGGACUCAAUGAAAAAAACUGAAAGGAAAAAAUGCCGAAGGAGAUUUUUUCCCUUUUUAAAAACCUCCUGGGCUUAUUGUGAAUAACAAUAAGACUGUCAUCAUAAUUUGAUGGUGCGCUAUCUGUGAA
rnacentral:ncRNA from 2 species